rnacentral:rRNA from 1 species
UGAGGGUUGAUAGGUUAAGAGCUAAUUAACUGGACGUUACCCACAGAAGAAGCACCGGCUAACUCCGUGCCAGCAGCCGCGGUAAUACGGAGGGUGCGAGCGUUAAUCGAAUUACUGGGCGUAAAGGGUGCGUAGGUGGUUUGAUAAGUUAACUGUGAAAGCCCCGGGCUUAACCUGGGAGGGUCAGUUAAGACUGUUGGACUAGAGUAUGGGAGAGGGUAGUGGAAUUUCCGGUGUAGCGGUGAAAUGCGUAGAGAUCGAAGGAACACCAGUGGCGAAGGCGGCUACCUGGCCUAAUACUGACACUGAGGCACGAAAGCGUGGGGAGCAAACAGGAUUAGAUACCCUGGUAGUCCACGCUGUAAACGAUGUCAACUAGCUGUUGGUCUUAUGAAUGAGAUUAGUGGCGCAGCAAACGCGAUAAGUUGAC